AACCAGAAACAAGACAUUGACGAACACUGGCCUAACGUAGGAAAUAAAUAAUAGAGGUACAUGUAUAGUGCCUGUAACCUAGGGAGCCAUAGGCAUUGAUCCAGGACUUCUGCCUGUGCUACAAUGCCCUCCUCCAUCUCACCACGCACGUUGUUCAUGCAAAUAAAAGCAUGGAAAUAAGAUAUCUUUAAUUAGGAGCACGAGUGAACAAAACAUGAAAUUGAUGUGUAAUAUGUACACAUGAAAAGCAUUGUCACGCGUUUGAUCAGUGUAUACCAAUGAACUCAAAGCUGAUCUCUCCACUUGCGGUAGAGAAGCACACUGAGUAGCUGAUACUGACAAGACUUUGACUGGUAUACUUGGGAAUGAGGAAGUAGACAGCUUGUUUGUAGUUGGGGUCCCACACCAGCUUCUCGUUCGUUUUGGGAUGCUGCAUGAUAAGACACAUGAUUGUGAUGCUCAGGCCAGUUGUAAUCGCAUACCCUACAGUUACUUAGGAACUGCCCAUGGUUAACUGUGCUAUUCAUUAAGUGUUUAAUUCUCUAUACUUGUAAAAUCAUAUCAGUAAAAUAACAGCCAACCACGUAGAAUUAUUGGUUACUAGGGAUUUAUGGCAACAUCUUCACUGUGCAGUAAAAUCCCUAUAACCACGAUGCACAAUCCACGAUAACAUAUCGUUCAGUUCGAACAAUGAGCUAAUAGAAGGCUAUUAUAAUGAGUGUUGCUUGCUAAUGCCUCUCGCCAUGUUUUUGCUUUCGCUCAAUAGUAGUAGAGUGUUAUUUAUAGGAGAGUGGAUCCAAAUAAUUUGCAAUGUGCUUUAAUUGUUUCACAAGAAAGGGGUGUCCACAGUUAAUAGUGCAUACUGAUCGUCUUAAAUUAAUGGCCUGUAGCCAAACAGUGGGAGCAAACCUUUGUCAAAGGCAUAGUCAGUAGUCUGUGAGAUAAGUAUAUUAAAGAGACAGAAUUCAAUCACAGAAAGUAGUAUCUAUAACAAGCAGUCUAAAAGGAGUUAUCAGAAAAGGUUGGUUUGUGGCUUACCAGGACCUCAACAAAGAAGAAGAUUUUGCCAGGAUCUGGGGUUCAAAAUGGAUUCUCUUACGCGUGGUAUUGAGCGCGCAUGCGCAUUACAUCCAGGAAUAAGAUUAUAAGGGGUGUGUCUGCAAGUUCAUAAAAAUUAAUAAAUUAGCUAGCUUCUUUAGCAGCUCUUUCUGACUUCUGUAGCUAACAAAAAGCUUAGCGCUUUAGUGCAAGGCUAAUUCGUAAGUUGAAUAGAAAGUUUGUGCGAACAGAUGAUGCUAUGAAAGAUUCUGAAGAGACUGCAACAGCCUUCAAUGUGAGUCAAACUAGCCAUAACUUGAGAAAGAAGCUUUAGUUUGCUAAUCCACGAAUCAAAAUCCAAGAGAAUGUGGCUAGAAGCCUAUAGAAGCUGUUAGUUUUCGUCGCAUUGCAACCGUUGAGCAGUUACAGCUGGAACAGACACACAGACAGACAGACAGACACACACAUACACACAGUCAGCUUUACCGUAUUCCUCGUGCGGCUAAAAUACUGUACUACUCUCUAUACAUGUUGUCACAUGCCAAUUGGUUUUGGGUUUCUUUCAAUAGACUCUGUUUCCAUAAAGUGAGUCCACUGGCUAUAAUACCAUAUAGCGCUAAAAAAUUUUUAUUGAAAAAUGUUCGUGGGUUGACUGCUUACUGGAAGUAUUCCUGAAAUCGUACUUUUAUAGCAGAUAAUUCUACACAUUUUCGUGGAAUUAAUUUUCGUGUAGGAUUGCUAACCCAUGAGAACAGUGAAAAUUUAACCCCCUCGAAAAUGUUGUGCUAUACGAUAACAUAUACAAUUCUUUGGAGUCACCUCCUUUGAAACUAAAUUGUCUCCAAAUGUUCAAUGCAAGUUUUGUGCAGUGUAAACUGAACUGUUUUGAGUGUAGUAGAAAAAUACUAGGUAAAGUUAGUUAGCAUGGAAAUUGAUCAUUGGGUACACUUAAGCUCAGACACAUACCUCAAGCAGCCCUGUGGUCACAGUGUGUCCAUCGGCCAGCACAUAGUCCAUCCAUAUGACCACGCCAUGACACGGCUCACUGCAUUCAGUCAGAGGUCAAAGGACAUCAAUGGGACUACAUCACUGCGAUGAAAGGAGGGAUACUCCCACACAUGAUGAGGCUCUGCUUCUAUCCCUUCCACCGUUGUCGUAUGCUUGCCCACCUGCAGGAGUGGGUGUGGAAGAGGGUGGGGCA